rnacentral:rRNA from 1 species
GGAAGUAAAAGUCGUAACAAGGUUUCCGUAGGUGAACCUGCGGAAGGAUCAUUAACGAAUAUAAUUCGAGGGGUUGUCGCUGGCCUCGCUCGCGAGGCAUGUGCACGCUUCUUGUUUUUCAUAACUCACCUGUGCACCUAAUGUAGGAUGCCUCUCCUCCGGGAGGGGGGACCUAUGUCUUCGUAUACAUCUUCGUGUAGAAAGUCUUUGAAUGUUUACUAUCAUCGAGUCGCGACUUCUAGGAGACGCGAUUCUUUGAGAUAAAAGUUAUUACAACUUUCAGCAAUGGAUCUCUUGGCUCUCGCAUCGAUGAAGAACGCAGCGAAAAGCGAUAUGUAAUGUGAAUUGCAGAUCUACAGUGAAUCAUCGAAUCUUUGAACGCACCUUGCGCUCCUCGGUGUUCCGAGGAGCAUGCCUGUUUGAGUGUCAGUAAAUUCUCAACCCCUCUCGAUUAGCUUCGAGAGGGCGCUUGGAUAGUGGAGGUUGCCGGAGACUUGGAUUCGUCCAGGACUCGGGCUCUUCUGAAAUGCAUCGGCUUGCGGUCGACUUUCGACUAUGCGCGACAAGGCUUUCGGCGUGAUAAUGAUCGCCGUUCGCUGAAGCGCAUGACCGAGGGUUCCGUGCCUCUAAUACGUCGACCACUUACUAUCUCUCCGGAGAGAACAGGGUCUUCCUUAUUGACUUUUGACCUCAAAUCAGGUAGGACUACCCGCUGAACUUAAGCAUAUCAAUAAGCGGAGGAAAAGAAACUAACAAGGAUUCCCCUAGUAACUGCGAGUGAAGCGGGAAAAGCUCAAAUUUUGAAUCUGGCGGUCUUUUGGCCGUCCGAGUUGUAAUCUAGAGAAGUGUUUCCG